UCGUUGGUACAACCACAUUGAUGCCCUCUUGAGGAUCUCUGGUGUCUCCGCUGAAGGAAGCGGUGUCGUUGUUGAGGGAUCUGCCCCUAUCACAGAAGAGGCUGUUGCUACUCCCCCUGCAGCUGAUUCUAAGGAUGCUGCGGCUGAGG